ensembl:lncRNA
UUUGAUAUAAGAUCUCCCUAACAACUAAUAAUAUACUCACUCUUCUCAGCAAAUGCGGCUGCCCUAAAGGAGAAAAGAAUCAAUAUAGAAAUGAUUACAGUUAUUUGGACGUAACUAAAAAAUAUGAAUGUUAAAAACCUAGUGUUCUUUUCAAAUAACUCACUUAAGUCUCAGGUACUCUUCAUAGGCGUCGGUGUAUGCUGCAAAAAUAAAAGUGAGCUCGGGACUUUCAUCUCAGAAAAGGUUUUAGAGGAACUCAAAAAUCAGAAUAUAUAAAUACAUGCAAGAAUAAAUACAAUAAAAGCUAAAAUAUAAAAUAAUACCCUUCGAUGUCACAUGUGAUAUCUCGUUACCUUGUCCGGAGAGGUCGAAGGCUCUGGUGUGGGUCUGCACGCCGUCUGAGAUCUCGAUGGAGUAGCUGCCCUUCUCCUUGUCGGAGGGAUCGCAGAUCUGCAUCCAGGCCAUCUCCGCCGUGCCUCCGAUCCGCAUCUUCUCCGAGGAGGCGAUCUUACUCUCCCUGCAGGCGUUUCAUCACAAGUCACAGGGGCAGACUCCGAACGUCUACUGGGAGACGUGACUUUUGAUGGGAGCUAAUGGGAAACGUCAUACUGGUUCCCUCAUUGUUGCAGAAAAUAAAUGUUUAUAAAACUUAUUUAACACAGAAAGAUAAUCAUCACAAAUGAACAGUACUUUGCUCAUUUAGAUGCUUUUUUAAGACACGUAAACGCUUCUAACGCCACUAGAGCAGCGUUGACUGACCUUUUUUAUGUUGUAAUAACCAUUGACUUCCAGAGCAGGAAAAGUGUCGAAACACAAACUCAUUUCUAGUUGUUAGAACUUAUUAUUGGACACAAAAUCUUCAAAGGGAGAAGAGCGACCUCAUUAAAUUGAACUCAAGUGAUCGAUAUCUAAAUGAGUGACACUGAUAUUUACUACCCAUAAACUACAGAAUAAAAACAGGGGAGGGGCGUUGUGUUAGAUUAACCGUACUUGUGUUUCCAGACGGUCUUCAUCUCCUCUGUGUAGUAGCUCAUGUAGCACUGCAGCCUGAUGCCCUCCGGAGUGCACUGCAGCACCAGCUCAGAGGCCGAGGCGCCUGCAAGACCAACCGCAGGUCACACAGGCGAACGUUGCAUUACACGGUACACUUUGGUGUAUUUAUGUUCCGCCAUUUCCGGUAGAGUUUUAGUAUCAAAUGAUAUUUAUUUAAAUUGAAAUGAUUUAAGAUUUGCAUGACUUAUUUGACACCUUGAUCACAUUAUAUUGAUCAGCUAAUCAAACUUACCAGCAAUCUUGGCGAUGGCAUUGAUGAUGUCAUCAAACACUGAAAAUUACACACACGUACGUUAUACUUUAUAACAGGAAUCACAACUACAAAUCUAAAUCUUCUAGAAUUGAUUUUAAAUUCUUCUGCUUAAUAAAGCAGUAACGUUUUGCAACACGUCCACAUGACACCACAGAGGAUGAACAGUAGGCUGAUUUAUGGAAGAAUAAAGAAUCAAAAAUAAGGUAAAUCAGAAAUUAAACACACACAAAAAUAUAAAUAGCCAGUGGCGGAUUUCUCUGAAUACAAAACCCUUUGAACUGCAUGUAAUGUAGGAAAAGUGUCUGAAGAGCAUUUGUAUUGUUACCGUUGCCUGAUAUGUCAAACAGAGACGUGUCCUUCCCUCUGUCGUCACUGAGCACGGCCUUGAAGACGCCUUGAUCCUUCCUGGAAAACUGGAAAAAACAACAACAUUCUUACCAUACCAACAAGCUGCACGGACAUAAAACAUCUGUACACAAAGGUACAUAUAAAUACCAACCUGAAUAUAUGAAUAAAAUACGCUAUUGAGAGAGAUUAUUAAUAGUAUUAAUUAUAUAAGUAAUUAUAACUCUGUUGAGUUUUAGCUUCUUCAACUCUUAUACAAGGUAUGUACACUCCUGCAUGUCCGUGUGUAUCUAUGUACACGGGUACAGAUGUAGAUGUGUGCGUAGGUGUGGAUGCUGCAGUGGUUACCAUGGGGACGGGCAGAGCGACGGCUCCAGACAUCACAUUCACUGGGGUUUCUGGAAAAAUCUCAUCGUCCUCUUUGUACCAGUGGAAGGACGUCUCCUUCUUCACAUUGGCCACCUAAAAAACAAACAAACAAACAAACAAAUAAACAAAACACAUUUGUUAUGUUGCAAUAAAAAGAAGCAAUUGGAAAGACUGUUUGUAGCUGGUGAUUAAAGUUGUACCUUGCAGGCGAGCAUGACGGUGCAAUCCUCAGAGACGGUGAAGUACAGAUACUCAGAGAAAUGUGGACCUAAAGUGAAGAGGAGCAGCAAUAUUAUAUACUGUAUAUACACAUAUAUAUAUAUAUAUAUAUAUGCAAUGAAAAGCUUGUGAUUGUGCAAGCGAUGUUUGGUACGGUUUCCAUGGCGACGUGUAGUUACCUUGCUUCCUGAUGUGCUCUUUCCUCUGAAACUCGGCCUCCUUUAGAGCAGCUUUGAACACUGAAACGGGGGAAAACAGUCGUCUAUAUUCUAGAAUUGUAUAGUUGAAUGAAAGUUAUACUCAAUUAAAGCACUUGUGUAAAGUUACUUUCCACCAUUGAUUUCAUUUCAUGUAAAAAGUGUGUGAUGAGACUGGCACAAAAUGCAUUCUGGACAUCCUUAAAUAAAUGCUGCGCCCUGAGAGAAUAAAUCCCCCGUAACUGCCUCUCUCACUCCGGCGGGACUCACCGUCUCCCACCAGCACCAGGGAGCUCUGCGUCUUGGCCUUGCCGUCGUGGAUCUGCACCGUGUAGGUUCCCUCGUUGGCUCUGGUGAAGUGAUCCAGCGUCAUCUGGAUGACCCCCGAGGGCACGUCGUGGCUGAUCUUGAUGCCCUGAGGGGGAAGAAACGAUUGCCAUACGGCCAGCGUCCGCCUUUACAUCCUGGUGGUCACCAUGUGAAUCUUUGUCACGGCGCCGAGAUCAACCUGAAGGCUGAGACUUUAUCAUAAAGUAACUAGAGCUCUAAAAUAACUGCAGUGAAGUAAAUUUGUUCUCUAUAGAGUCGUACUGAAGGAGUAAGACAGAUGUUUUGGAGUGUGGUUGUGUAAGUGGAAGCUAUAUUUAGAAUAUUUUGUGCGUUAUCUCAUUGUCACCCUGUUAUCUUUGCUCUCCUCACAGCCAACAGACUCCACUGACAAAAACAGACCGUGUAGAACUCUGGAGUUCCUCCGUUGCCUCGGCCUGUUAGUUAGUUAUUACUUUGUGUCAUUGUGACACUUUAAUGCGCAACAUUUCAUUAAAACACAGAAGUCCCACGAGAACCCUUUGAUCUUAAAGCUUAAAACACUGGUUUUGUGAAUGGAGUCUGGUGGUCUGGUGAGAGCAAAGAAAUCAGUCCGUCGGCAAGAUAAAGCAGUUAAAACAUAGUAAAUAUAUCAGAAACAUGAGCUAAUAUCUGUUGUUCUAUGUGUCUAAAAUAGGUCCUCGGCUUAAAGAGCUCCAUCCACAGCAGCAAAACUACGGAGAAGAACUCACUCAAAAACAUCCAAACUCUCAAAGCUCGCGUUACCUCGCCGCUGUGGACCUCCUUGUCGUUGACGAUGACCCGGUAGGACACAGAGGGCGACAGUUUGACGGCCUGCAGCCAGAAACGCACGUGACCUUUCUCCAAAACCUCGUAAUUCAGGCCGUGUUUCAGAGGAACGACUGCACGGGAACAAACACACACACACACACACACACACACACACACACACAUUAGGAUCCGGAGGAAACGGGGCGGAGGUGAAGACAGGAGGAGCACGGUACUCACCGGGGUGUUGGAUGGCGUAGCUGAGCUCCAGCAUCGUGUUCAGGGCUGUGGAAUGGAUCCAAGACGACAAACGUGAGCCCGAAAACAAACAACAACAACAACAGCAACAAAAUAGGAGGGGCCGGCGUACCGUCCUCAGUCAGCGUGUGGCUGGCAGAGACUCCGUCCGUGUCCGUGACCACCACGGAGUACCGGCCCAGGUCGUCUUUGUCCGGGUUGGUGAAAGUCAGCCUGGAGCUGGAAAUCCAAUAAAAUCCAUCAAAGACCCAUUAAAGUCCAUUAAAAUCCGUUAAAAGUCUGUUAAAAUCCGUUAAAAGUCUAAGCUAGAAUAACACCGGGGCAAACUAUUUGUUUUAUAAUUGUGAUAUAAAUAUAUAAAUAAUAAUAUAUAUAAAUAUGAGUAAACACGUGAGGUUGCAUUCUCACGUACGUGCGGCCCUUGGUGGUGACGGCGACCCUCGGGCAGUCGCCGAUGGCUCUGUAGUUCUUGGACCAAACGAACUUGGAGGUCUCAGAGAUCUCGCAGGCCUCCAGAGACAGGAAGAUGUCUCCGGUCUCCUCGUCCACGCCGGCCACCAGCUCCUGAGUGCCUGAGACCAAUAAAACCAUUUAUGUGUACAUCUUACAAAAUGACCCGCUGCAAACAACUGCCCCAAUCUGUCAACAAUUCCCCAAAUAAAUGUGUGCUCCAAUUAUUUGGGAUGUUUGUGUUGCUAAGAAAAUAUUCUCCCAGCACAUUUAAGAUUCAAUCAAUUCUGAAUUUAAAGUAUAAAUACUGUACACUUUACUUGGGUAUAUUAAUAAUAAUACAAUAACAUUGUGACAUUGAGGCAAUAUUGUGACAUUAAUGGGUUAAUAACUAAGAUAAAAGUCUACUACUUAAACUUCAGUCAGAAUUGAUAAUUAUCAUAUUUUAUAGCUGAAAUUCAGUUGUGAACCUUUUAAAUAUUCAAUUACUACCUGUAAACACUCAAUGUCUCCAGGCCUCUGUGGGUUUAAAGAUUAAUCACAAGGGAUUUUUCCUUUGCUGAUGACAGAGGACGUCGCGUGUUUACAGACUGUAAAGCUUUCUGAUGUAUUUUGAUUUUGACAAAAUUAACUGAUGUUAAUGUUUAAGCGCGUCUCUGUAACUGUAAAUGGUGUUUAGUGAGAUGGAGUGACGUGAGAGAAGGGUAUGUUGUUGUUGUUGUUGUUGUUGACACAACAAGGUGUGACCCAGAACAAACCAGUGGUGCUUAGUGGUGGUUACCUGGCAGAGCUUUGGCACAGACCGGCUCAGACGCCUGGGACGGUUUCCCGACCCCGUUGGCGUUGAUGGACCGGACUCUGAAGACGUAGGCUUCCCCUUCCUCCAGACCAGUCACCUGCAGGAAACCACGGUAACCACGGUAACCACGGAAGCACAACGUCACAGGCUCCGCGCGGAUGUUUUCAUUGACAGCAAAACUAUUAAAGACGAGAUAUAAAGCAUCAUUUUUUUCCCGUUGCGUUGUUGGCUUUAAUUGGCGGUGGUUUUGGCGCUCCCUGUGGAGGACAGCGGUAGUGUUCUUAGACUAUUUCUACUGCAGCAGGUCAGACGGGCUGAGGGUCUGUGUGAUGUCACCUCGGUCUAUAUUCUAGUUAAAAACAGAGUUCUGUUCGUUGGCCUGGUUAACUUCUGCCGGCCUCCUACCUGCAGGUAACGAUGGCUCACGGCCUCCUGGUUCAGAGUAGCAAACUCCGAUGAGCCUUUCUUGGCCAUCUCCACCACGUAUCCAGUCACUGCACUGGCCCCGGUGUAGACCGGAGCCUUCCACAGGAUGACCAGGGACUGACCUCUGACCUCGCUGAAGCUCAGGUCGUAGGCCGGGCCUGGAGGACGGGCGUAGGAUAACAGGAAGAUGAGCAGAAAGGAACGAUGUCUGCACAUUGUUGUCAUUAUUGUAGAAGCAGCGGCGGUCCUCCACCUGGCUCGUCCAUGGUCCCACGCUUCACAUUUCAUCGGAGCGCUGGGAGCACUGGGAACGCCGACACCGGCCAUGUUAGCGGGCCUGGAUCUUAAACUCGUAGAAGACUCCCUCCGUCAGAUUGUCAAUCUGAAGAUACAGAGAGAGCGAGAAAAACAGAGAGUCUCUGUUUCUAUAAUCCAGAGUGUGAUUGUUUCUAUAAUCCAGAGUGAUUGGUUCUAUAAUACAGUGUGAUUGUUACUAUAAUCCAGUGUGAUUGUUACUAUAAUCCAGUGUGAUUGGUUCUAUAAUCCAGAGUGUGAGUGUUACUAUAAUCCAGUAUGAUUGUUUCUAUAAUACAGAGUGUGAUUGUUACUAUAAUCCAGUGUGAUUGUUUCUAUAAUCCAGUGUGAUUGGUUCUAUAAUCCAAUGUGAUUGUUUCUAUAAUCCAGAGUGUGAUUGGUUCUAUAAUCCAGGGUGAUUGUUUCCAUGCAGUGUGAUAUGAGCCCACUCACGCUGCAGAGCCUCUCUGUGACCCCCGUCAUGUUGACCUCGUUCCACAGCAGCGUGUCGGCGUUCCUCUUGUCGAUGUAGUAGGCGUUGAUCUUGGAGCCCCCGCAGUGGGCGGGGCUCUUCCAGGCCAAGGUCAUGGAGGAGCCGUCGCAGCUCAGCAUGGUGAUGCCGAACGGAGCGCUGGGAGUCGCUGCAUCACAGAGAACCUUCAUGUUUAAUAUCAGAGGCUUAACAACCGUUAAGAGCUUUAAAAAAGUAUGUACGUGAGAAAAACAUCCGUGUUUCACUACUUGACUUUACUGUGAGAGUGAAAGUAUCCAUAAUGAAUUAUAAUCAUACUUACAAUAUGUUAAACUCUGCUUAUAGCACAUUAUACUCACACACUUUAUAUCAGUAAUGAUUACACAUUAUAAACCAAAUAGUAACUUACAAGGUCAAAUGAAGAAAUACUUUAAGACCAACAAUUAAAGUUCAUAAUUGUUGGUCUUAGAUAUUGUUAUUAUUAUUAGACGGUUAUUAAUAGGAUGACAAAAUACUAAUAAUAAAAAAGCUUUUAAAUGUGUUGUUGCUAUAAAGCAUUUUUCUCUGAGUGGUUAUAACUAUAAUUGUACAGUUCUGUAUGCAGACGAUAACACAUUGUGAAUAUGUUCAUAAUGUAUAUAGAUGUGGACGUGUUAAAUAUAUCAAAUAAAUAAACACGUCUCAUAACUGAACAUAAACAAAAUACCAUCUUUCUUUGACUGUGACAUUUCACAUGUGAUUAAAGCUCACGAUGCACAGUGACAGUGCACAAAGUGAGGGAGUCAGGAGGGGGGAAAUCAGCUGUUUCCCUACGUACCAUAUUCCCCCCCCGGGCCUGGAUAGAGUGAUGAAAUGAACACAACAAUGAACACAACAUAUGACAUCACCAUCAACCUCCCAUCACCCCCUUCGUUUACCUUUCACUCUGUAAGUCUUUAAGCAGAGCUUAUAAUAAAGAAAUAUUAAGAUAAAGGUAUAUUUUAAUAGGGGUAUAUUAGGAUAAAGUUAUAUUAUAAUUAUAAUGUAAGUUAUAUAUUGUUAGGUAUAUUGUAAUAAAGGUAUAUUAGGAUAAAGGUAUAUUAGCAUAAAGGUAUAUUGUGAUAAAGGUAUAUUAGUAUAAAGGUAUAUUGUAAUAAAGGUAUAUUAGGAUAAAGGAAAAUUAGGAUAAAGGUAUAUUGUAAUAAAGGUAUAUUAGGAUAAAGGUAUAUUGUAAUAAAGGUAUAUUAGGAUAAAGGUAUAUUAGGAUAAAGGUAUAUCAGGAUAAAGGUAUAUUGUAAUAAAGGUAUAUUAGGAUAAAGGUAUAUUGUAAUAAAGGUAUAUUAGGAUAAAGGUAUAUUGUAAUAAAGGUGUAUCAGGUAAAGGGGGGGUCUCUUACAGAGGGUCGGCUCCACGGAGAUGGGAGAGGACUCCUGAGACUCCUCGCUGAGGCCGAACACGUUGACGGCCUGGACGCGGAACGUGUAGGUUUCUCCUGGGAUGAGCCCGUGCACCACGAACCUGAAGCACGCACACACACACAGACACACACACAUUAUUCUUCAGUCACAGUCACCAUGAUCUUUUGUGCCUAAUAGUGUUGCCAACAUUACUCAUGUGUAUGCAAAUUAUUUCUCUCCGUAGACACUUUAAAACAUAAUACGUAACAUUUGUACAUGAUCAACGAGUCGAAUUAGGACAAAUCCAUCCAGUACAUCAGCUUGUGUCGUCACUUAGAACACCGGCCUUUUUGGCCCAGAAACUCCAAAAGAACUCUGAGAUACAACAAAAGCUUUCACAGGUGUCGAGACCCCUCCUCUGCAGGUGGACCUCAUUGAGGGGGGGGGGGGGGGGUACCUGGAUUGCUUGAAGGGUUUGUGGUUGCAGGGGAACCAGUCCUUGGUCCCGGCGACGCGGCGUCGAUGUAGUAGCCCACCAGGUUCUUCGGAUGACUCGGGGGGUCCCACUGCACGAACACGGAGGACUUGGUGUUCCUGGGGGCCACCACCUGACCGGGAGCAGAGGGGACGCCUGUCGGGGGGGGUGACAUGUAGACGUGAGAACACAUUGGACAUUCUAGGGAAAAGGACCCGUGGACAUCUGUACAGAGUCAACGAGGGGCUCGCUGCACUGCGUCGGGGCAGCUGUCAAUCACAGGAAUCAAACGCACAACCCGUGUUUAUGCCUUCUGCAAAGUGAGCGGCUGCAGGUCACAAUGACCGACAACUAUUAAACGUGCGAAGACAAAGAAGCGUCAGGAGGACCAACAAAUGUGGGGGGGGGGGGAACAUGACAUGUGGUUUUGUUUUAAGGAUCCGUGACAGAAGAGUGAAGUUAGAGAACAUUUGACUUGAGAGAUGCGAGACUGUGAUGUAAAACAAACAACAAUAUCUUUUGUUUCCAAAUAGCGGCUACACACCAAUAAUAAGGCUGCACAAUGCAUGCUGGGAUACGAGCCUGAUGGAGAUAGGAUGACAUAUAUAUAUAUUUAUAUAUACUGAAUCCUCUCCCCAGGGCGAGGAGUGAAGGGACCUGUGAGGUCACAAUGGCGUGAAUCAGUGUUUAAGUUGAACUGUACGUACCCAGCGGCCCCCCAGCACCUGUAACACACCGCACGUCCACCAGAGCUCAACGAACGCACUUUAAACCAAGAUGAACUACAAGUCCCUCAGGAAGCCUCCGGCGAUUUGGGUUGUUUGAAACCGCCGGGGAGCGUACGGCGAAAUGAAGAUAUCACAUAAAAGCUGUCAGGACGUGUUUGCACGCCUUACCGUCCUCGCCCCCCCUCUGGGCGGGCUCCGAGGGCUCCGAGGCCUCGCUGGAGCCGAACCGGUUGACCGCGGUCACUCGGAAGCGGUACCUUUGCCCCUCUUGCAAAUCAAAAACCGGGUAGCGGGGCGAGUGCAGCUCGACCGCCGCGUUGAUCCGCUGCCAAGCUGCAGUGCCCGCUAAGCACUGUGGGAGAG